rnacentral:rRNA from 1 species
AUUAAACGCUGGCGGCAUGCUUUACACAUGCAAGUCGAACGGUAACAGGCCUUCGGGUGCUGACGAGUGGCGAACGGGUGAGUAAUGCAUCGGAACGUGCCCAGAGGUGGGGGAUAACGCAGCGAAAGCUGUGCUAAUACCGCAUGUGAUCUGAGGAUGAAAGCGGGGGACCAGGCAGCAAUGUUUGGCCUCGCGCCUUUGGAGCGGCCGAUGUCAGAUUAGGUAGUUGGUGGGGUAAAGGCCUACCAAGCCGACGAUCUGUAGCUGGUCUGAGAGGACGACCAGCCACACUGGGACUGAGACACGGCCCAGACUCCUACGGGAGGCAGCAGUGGGGAAUUUUGGACAAUGGGCGCAAGCCUGAUCCAGCAAUGCCGCGUGCGGGAAGAAGGCCUUCGGGUUGUAAACCGCUUUUGUACGGAACGAAAAGGCUCUGGCUAAUACCUGGGGCUGAUGACGGUACCGUAAGAAUAAGCACCGGCUAACUACGUG